AACGAACGCUGGCGGCAUGCCUAACACAUGCGAGUCGAACGAGACCUUCGGGUCUAGUGGCGCACGGGUGCGUAACGCGUGGGAACCUGCCCUUAGGUUCGGAAUAACUCCCCGAAAGGGGUGCUAAUACCGGAUAAUGUCUUCGGACCAAAGAUUUAUCGCCUUUGGAUGGGCCCGCGUUGGAUUAGCUAGUUGGUAGGGUAAAAGCCUACCAAGGCGACGAUCCAUAGCUGGUCUGAGAGGAUGAUCAGCCACACUGGGACUGAGACACGGCCCAGACUCCUACGGGAGGCAGCAGUGGGGAAUAUUGGACCAUGGGCGAAAGCCUGAUCCAGCAAUGCCGCGUGAGUGAUGAAGGCCUUAGGGUUGUAAAGCUCUUUUACCCGGGAUGAUAAUGACAGUACCGGGAGAAUAAGCUCCGGCUAACUCCGUG
rnacentral:rRNA from 1 species